rnacentral:rRNA from 1 species
UACGUAGGGGGCAAGCGUUAAUCGGAAUUACUGGGCGUAAAGCGUGCGCAGGCGGUUUUGUAAGACAGGCGUGAAAUCCCCGGGCUCAACCUGGGAAUGGCGCUUGUGACUGCAAAGCCGGAGUGCGGCAGAGGGGGAUGGAAUUCCGCGUGUAGCAGUGAAAUGCGUAGAUAUGCGGAGGAACACCGAUGGCGAAGGCAAUCCCCCUGGGGCCUGCACUGACGGCUCAUGCACGAAAGCGUGGGGAGCAAACAGG